rnacentral:lncRNA from 1 species
AAUUGGGUUAAGACUUAUUUUAAUUGGGUUGAUCUAAUUUUAAUUUGAUUUAGUUUGGAAAACCAAAUUAAAACAAGUCAUAAGACAGAAUCCUAGUAAGACUAGGAUUCCACCUUGCGCCACAUAAUCCUUCUCCACGCCCUCUCUCUUAUUCAACGCCAAUCUUUACUUAUUUUGUGUGACAAAAGCCCUCUCUAAGAUCUCUCCCACGUUCACAAAAGGUCUCCUCUCUUCUUUCUUACAUGGAAGGUGGUUUGGAUCAAAUCUAAAAGGAAUAAGUUUGGAUUUUGAAUUCUAUGAGAUAGAGUUUUAGAAAUCCAAAACUCUUUCAAUUUUGCACCAAAUUUAUCCAAAUUUUUUUUUGGAAUUUUUAUGGAUUUUAGGGUAUA